UCAGCCAUGAACUAAGCUGCGGCUCUCUCCUCUCUUUCUCUUUCCAGAUCUUUCCAUCCUCUACUUCUCCGUCUGUCUUUCGCGGUAGGUGAUGUUUUAACACCAAAUAUCAUUGUACGGACCAUUGUUAGGCCUUCACACGGCAGAAACGUUAUUUAUACAGUGUUGACAUGUCCGGUUCAGCUGUCCGGUUUGUGGUGUUUUAUUACAGUCUGUCGGGUUACAGAGCCCGCUGAGUCCGGAGUUGAGGUUAAAGUGUGAGACACUAAAACACGACGAGCUGAAGGUCAGGGGUAAAACAAUGCUGUUAUUUAAUCUCAACUUUGAGAAAAAUGCACGUCAGAGCAGGAGGUUAAUGUACCAUCUACCUUAGAGGUGUGAGAAGAAAACUGACACUUAAAUAAGAAUAACCUCUAUAUUUAAGUGGUUUUUACUGUGAAAUAAUCGUUUUUAAGGGUUUACCUUUUCAUUUAAGUAUAAGAUCUAGUAUAAUAGCUGACUAUGCAACUGCCACGUGUGCACAUGAACCCAAAAGUAGGCUGGACAGUUAUAGUAUUAAAAGGUUUUCGUGUGUAAUAUUUUCGGGUUUUGCAGGACUUAAGUAAAAAAAAAUUCAAGUGCACGUAAAUCGCAACGUUUACUGAGUGUAUUCAGUGUUAGUGUGAAGACAUGCAGACUGCCCUGUUUGAGCUCUUUUUUUUGCCUUAAGUGUUUGUAUAUUUUUCUGUAAACCGAGUCCCCUAACAAGACUGCCAUGACGUUUGCUUGUACUUUGAAUGCAGAUUAUUCCACUCAAAUUGGAUCUAUUUGAAUGUGAUGUAAUGAUCAUUCAAGUGCACUGUACAUUUUGCUUUAUCACUUUGUUGUAAACCGUAGGAUAGGUGAAUAAGGCCAUCACACCCUGGAAGACCAAACAAGAGUCAUCAAAUCUAUAACCUCUAUUCUAUAAAAGCAGGGGCGCUGUUUAAAAUAAUUAAAACUAAUUUUGUUGUAAAUCAUUUAAAGUCUUAUUUGAUUGAAAACAGUGCAGAGACUAUAGACCCACUUAAAAUAGGACAAAGGAGACCCUGAACUGAUGAUUUUUAAAAACUCACUGUUGCUCAUGUCUGAUAUUUCUACUUGUGUGUGUGUGUGUGUGUGUGUGUGUGUGUGUGUGUGUGUGUGUGUGUGUGUGUGUUUGUGUGUGUGUGUGUACGCCUCUUGUCCCAGUCCAGCCCAGUGUUUCAUACUGGGUGUGUUUGAGGUCUGAGGAGGCAGAGCAGAGCAGAGGUGUUACCCAUUCCACCCUCAGCCUCAGUGUGGCUCUGUGGUGGAAGAAGUCCCUGCUACAAAAUACUCACUGUACUUCACCUGUUAUUCAGACUGUGACAUAGCACCUGAUUACAAGUUUAAAACAGUUUUACAGUUUAAACAGUUUAAAACAUAAGAAUUUUCUGAUAUUGUGUGUGGGACUGUUAGCUGUCUUUAAUGCCCAACAACUAAACUUAUCCCCAUCUAUCUCAGUAAGCCAUUGUCUGAGGCCGUUUCAGUCAUAACUUCCAACAUUUGGAAGCUACAGCUCUUCAGAUUUGAGUCUUUCUUGCUUUAUCUUAUUUGUGACAAAAAAGAAGAGUUUCUGAGUUUAAGGUUGUUUGUUGGUCAAACACAGAAAUACUGAGACUAAACUGUCCAUUUUUUUUGACACCUUACAGACUAAUUAUUGUCAGUGUGUUGUAAAAAAGCUAAUUAAAGACAUCUUUCUUCUUCUUUCUUUCUUUUCUUAAUCAUCAUGUCCUGUAGGAUCCAGUGAGGAUGACGAGGAAACAACAGCAGAACCAAAACAGUCCAACCAAGUUAACAAGUUUGUUUCUGCAUUUUUCCAGAACUUUCCAAAAAAAAAAUUUCAGGAAAUGUUUCUCUCUGCAAGGACUUUUUUUAUCCUCAGUAUUAAAGAGUAAGAUUAAACCCUGGGUAAUGCCCUGUUAAAGCAUGCAGACUUUGUAAGGUUUAAACUGUUUUUGCAGGAAAACAAAGAGAAUAUCAGAGGAAAUAUGACAUAGUCAAGGUUUUAUUAAGUUUUGACUUGAAUAAGAUUCACUUAUGACAUCAAAAGAAUAAAGUUGUGUUAAACCUUA